GAUUUGGGAAUAAAGAGACAUCCAAUAAAAUUAGAAUGAUACAAAAAAGAUUAGCAUGGCUCUUGCGUAAGGAUAACACGCAUAAAUCGAGAAAUAAUAUCAU